AGUGGGCCAGAGACUGUAUUUAGUUGUGCUAAAAUCCUAAAGACCUAGAUCAGGACUCCUAAAACCUAUGUCUUCAGCAUCCAAGGGGACAAAACUUGUGAGCAGGCUCUGUCCCCUCUGGGAAGAGAGCCA
ensembl:misc_RNA